GGCUGUUAUAUAUGUCAGUUAAAAAGAAGUUUAUUUUAACAGUUAAAAAAGUAGAGGUUUUUGGUCUAGUAUGGUUCAGACUGGUCGAGCAUUGUUCAGACCUUUGGUUAAGUAUGGUUUAGACUGGAAAAAUAGGCCAUUUCAGACUUUAAUGGUUUGUAGUGUGUAGUAUUCCAAAUGUUUUCGCCACUGACAUCAAAUAUCUUCCUAUUGUAGAAUCAACACUUACAUAAUAAUAUCAUCUUUUAAAAUAUUAAUAAAACAAGC
rnacentral:lncRNA from 1 species